rnacentral:rRNA from 1 species
CGGAUAGAGCCGGCGAAGUCGCUCGUAUUUAGCCGAAGGCCCUGGGCUUUCCGCUGCUGAGUUGCUAAUCACGCUCGGUGGUGGAGUCUGCUCGGGGUUGAGGUGCACUUGCGGGCGUUUGCGCUGAGACUUGCGAGGCAGCUGUUGGACCCUUGUCUAGAGGCUUCCCUCUGGGUUGAACCUGGACCUGGUUACAACUGUUUGCCUUGCUCGUACUGGUCUGGCCUACGGACUCGGGUUGMGCCGUUGUAUGCACGUCGUGGCAUCGCAUGCGAUGUCUAGCGUGUGGGCAGCGGUUUGGCUUGCUGUCCACGGACCUUCUCUCGGUGUAGAAGCUGGUCAUCUCUCCGACCCGUCUUGAAACACGGACCAAGGAGUUUAGCGUAUGCGCGAGUCAUUGGGUGUAAAACCCAAAGGCGCAAUGAAAGUAAAGGCUCGGUCGCCGGGCUGACAUGUGAGUGCCGCGUCUUCGGACUAGGCACGCAGCAUGGUCCCGUUGUGGUCGCUUGCGACGCAGCGGAGACAGAGCGUAUGCGCUGAG